CCGGCCUUAGCUCAGUUGGAAGAGCAAUGGAUUGUAGUGGUAUGAUAUAACCCUCCAUGGGUCAGGGGUUCGAAUCACCUAGGCCGGACCA
rnacentral:tRNA from 1 species